rnacentral:lncRNA from 1 species
CACGAAAUUUGACAAUUCAGGUUCGUACGAAGUUCGUUCUGAAAUGGGGUGGUUGGUGUAUUGUAUAGUUCCAGAGAUUGGAUUUCACUCAAAACCCACCAAAUGACUCGUCCCACAAUAUUAUGAUGUUCCCCAAGUUUUGGACUCAAUCCGAUAUCGAUUGGUCCUUGAAAUCGGACAAUUCAGGUUCGUACGAAGUUUGUUCUGAAAUGGGGUGGUUGGUGUAUUGUAUAGUUCUAGAGAUUGGAUUUCACUCAAAACCCACCAAAUGACUCCUCCCACAAUAUUAUGAUGUUCCCCAAGUUUUGGACUCAAUCCGAUAUCGAUUGGUCCUUGAAAUCGGACAAUUCAGGUUUGUACGAAGUUCGUUC